GACGAACGCUGGCGGCGUGCUUAACACAUGCAAGUCGAACGGAAAGGCCCUGCUUUUGUGGGGUGCUCGAGUGGCGAACGGGUGAGUAACACGUGAGUAACCUGCCCUUGACUUUGGGAUAACUUCAGGAAACUGGGGCUAAUACCGGAUAGGAGCUCCUGCUGCAUGGUGGGGGUUGGAAAGUUUCGGCGGUUGGGGAUGGACUCGCGGCUUAUCAGCUUGUUGGUGGGGUAAUGGCUUACCAAGGCUUUGACGGGUAGCCGGCCUGAGAGGGUGACCGGCAACAUUGGGAAGGGGAUAGGGACCAGACUACUACAGGAGGCAGCAGUGAGGAAUAUUGCAGAAUGGGCGGAAGACUGAUGCAGCAACGCCGCGUGCGGGAUGACGGCCUUCGGGUUGUAAACCGCGUUCGCCUGUGACGAAGCGUGAGUGACGGUAAUGGGUAAAGAAGCACCGGCUAACUACGUG
rnacentral:rRNA from 1 species